GACGAACGCUGGCGGCGUGCUUGACACAUGCAAGUCGAACGGAAAGGCCUGCUUUCCCUUGUGGAUUGCGGGUACUCGAGUGGCGAACGGGUGAGUAACACGUGAGUGAUCUGCCCCCAACUUGGGUAUAAGCCUGGGAAACUGUGUCUAAUUCCCGAUAGGACUGCAGGGUGGUGCCUGUGGUGGAAAACGAUUUUCUAGUGGUUGGGGAUGAGCUCGCGGCCUAUCAGCUUGUUGGUGGGGUAAUGGCCUACCAAGGCGGCGACGGGUAGCCGGCCUGGGAGGGUGGACGGCCAAAUUGGGACUGGGAUCCGGCCCAGACUCCUACGGGAGGUAGCAGUGGGGAAUAUUGCACAAUGGGCGGAAGCCUGCUGCAGCGACGCAGCGUGGGGGAUGACGGCCUUCGGGUUGUAAACUCCUUUCGACCGCGAGGAAGCCACCUGGUUGGAAGGGUGGUGACGGUAGUGGUAGAAGAAGCACCGGCUAACUACGUG
rnacentral:rRNA from 1 species